GACGAACGCUGGCGGCGUGCCUAAUACAUGCAAGUCGAACGAGAGCGACCGGUGCUUGCACUGGUCAAUCUAGUGGCGAACGGGUGAGUAACACGUGGGUAACCUGCCCAUCAGAGGGGGAUAACAUCCGGAAACGGAUGCUAAAACCGCAUAGGUCUUCGAACCGCAUGGUUUGAAGAGGAAAAGAGGCGCAAGCUUCUGCUGAUGGAUGGACCCGCGGUGCAUUAGCUAGUUGGUGAGGUAACGACUCACCAAGGCCGUGAUGCAUAGCCGACCUGAGAGGGUGAUCGGCCACAUUGGGACUGAGACACGGCCCAAACUCCUACGGGAGGCAGCAGUAGGGAAUCUUCCGCAAUGGACGCAAGUCUGACGGAGCAACGCCGCGUGAGUGAAGAAGGUUUUCGGAUCGUAAAACUCUGUUGUUAGAGAAGAACAAGUGCUAGAGUAACUGUUAGCGCCUUGACGGUAUCUAACCAGAAAGCCACGGCUAACUGCGU
rnacentral:rRNA from 1 species